rnacentral:rRNA from 1 species
UGUGAGGUUAAGCGACUAAGCGUACACGGUGGAUGCCCUGGCAGUCAGAGGCGAUGAAGGACGUGCUAAUCUGCGAUAAGCGUCGGUGAGGUGAUAUGAACCGUUAUAACCGGCGAUUUCCGAAUGGGGAAACCCAGUGUGUUUCGACACACUAUCAUUAACUGAAUCCAUAGGUUAAUGAGGCGAACCGGGGGAACUGAAACAUCUAAGUACCCCGAGGAAAAGAAAUCAACCGAGAUUCCCCCAGUAGCGGCGAGCGAACGGGGAGGAGCCCAGAGCCUGAAUCAGUGUGUGUGUUAGUGGAAGCGUCUGGAAAGGCGCGCGAUACAGGGUGACAGCCCCGUACACAAAAAUGCACAUAUUGUGAGCUCGAUGAGUAGGGCGGGACACGUGGUAUCCUGUCUGAAUAUGGGGGGACCAUCCUCCAAGGCUAAAUACUCCUGACUGACCGAUAGUGAACCAGUACCGUGAGGGAAAGGCGAAAAGAACCCCGGCGAGGGGAGUGAAAAAGAACCUGAAACCGUGUACGUACAAGCAGUGGGAGCCUCUUUAUGGGGUGACUGCGUACCUUUUGUAUAAUGGGUCAGCGACUUAUAUUCUGUAGCAAGGUUAACCGAAUAGGGGAGCCGAAGGGAAACCGAGUCUUAACUGGGCGUUAAGUUGCAGGGUAUAGACCCGAAACCCGGUGAUCUAGCCAUGGGCAGGUUGAAGGUUGGGUAACACUAACUGGAGGACCGAACCGACUAAUGUUGAAAAAUUAGCGGAUGACUUGUGGCUGGGGGUGAAAGGCCAAUCAAACCGGGAGAUAGCUGGUUCUCCCCGAAAGCUAUUUAGGUAGCGCCUCGUGAAUUCAUCUCCGGGGGUAGAGCACUGUUUCGGCAAGGGGGUCAUCCCGACUUACCAACCCGAUGCAAACUGCGAAUACCGGAGAAUGUUAUCACGGGAGACACACGGCGGGUGCUAACGUCCGUCGUGAAGAGGGAAACAACCCAGACCGCCAGCUAAGGUCCCAAAGUCAUGGUUAAGUGGGAAACGAUGUGGGAAGGCCCAGACAGCCAGGAUGUUGGCUUAGAAGCAGCCAUCAUUUAAAGAAAGCGUAAUAGCUCACUGGUCGAGUCGGCCUGCGCGGAAGAUGUAACGGGGCUAAACCAUGCACCGAAGCUGCGGCAGCGACACUAUGUGUUGUUGGGUAGGGGAGCGUUCUGUAAGCCUGUGAAGGUGGCCUGUGAGGGUUGCUGGAGGUAUCAGAAGUGCGAAUGCUGACAUAAGUAACGAUAAAGCGGGUGAAAAGCCCGCUCGCCGGAAGACCAAGGGUUCCUGUCCAACGUUAAUCGGGGCAGGGUGAGUCGACCCCUAAGGCGAGGCCGAAAGGCGUAGUCGAUGGGAAACAGGUUAAUAUUCCUGUACUUGGUGUUACUGCGAAGGGGGGACGGAGAAGGCUAUGUUGGCCGGGCGACGGUUGUCCCGGUUUAAGCGUGUAGGCUGGUUUUCCAGGCAAAUCCGGAAAACCAAGGCUGAGGCGUGAUGACGAGGCACUACGGUGCUGAAGCGACAAAUGCCCUGCUUCCAGGAAAAGCCUCUAAGCAUCAGGUAACAUCAAAUCGUACCCCAAACCGACACAGGUGGUCAGGUAGAGAAUACCAAGGCGCUUGAGAGAACUCGGGUGAAGGAACUAGGCAAAAUGGUGCCGUAACUUCGGGAGAAGGCACGCUGAUAUGUAGGUGAAGCGACUUGCUCGUGGAGCUGAAAUCAGUCGAAGAUACCAGCUGGCUGCAACUGUUUAUUAAAAACACAGCACUGUGCAAACACGAAAGUGGACGUAUACGGUGUGACGCCUGCCCGGUGCCGGAAGGUUAAUUGAUGGGGUUAGCGGUAACGCGAAGCUCUUGAUCGAAGCCCCGGUAAACGGCGGCCGUAACUAUAACGGUCCUAAGGUAGCGAAAUUCCUUGUCGGGUAAGUUCCGACCUGCACGAAUGGCGUAAUGAUGGCCAGGCUGUCUCCACCCGAGACUCAGUGAAAUUGAACUCGCUGUGAAGAUGCAGUGUACCCGCGGCAAGACGGAAAGACCCCGUGAACCUUUACUAUAGCUUGACACUGAACAUUGAGCCUUGAUGUGUAGGAUAGGUGGGAGGCUUUGAAGUGUGGACGCCAGUCUGCAUGGAGCCGACCUUGAAAUACCACCCUUUAAUGUUUGAUGUUCUAACGUUGGCCCGUAAUCCGGGUUGCGGACAGUGUCUGGUGGGUAGUUUGACUGGGGCGGUCUCCUCCUAAAGAGUAACGGAGGAGCACGAAGGUUGGCUAAUCCUGGUCGGACAUCAGGAGGUUAGUGCAAUGGCAUAAGCCAGCUUGACUGCGAGCGUGACGGCGCGAGCAGGUGCGAAAGCAGGUCAUAGUGAUCCGGUGGUUCUGAAUGGAAGGGCCAUCGCUCAACGGAUAAAAGGUACUCCGGGGAUAACAGGCUGAUACCGCCCAAGAGUUCAUAUCGACGGCGGUGUUUGGCACCUCGAUGUCGGCUCAUCACAUCCUGGGGCUGAAGUAGGUCCCAAGGGUAUGGCUGUUCGCCAUUUAAAGUGGUACGCGAGCUGGGUUUAGAACGUCGUGAGACAGUUCGGUCCCUAUCUGCCGUGGGCGCUGGAGAACUGAGGGGGGCUGCUCCUAGUACGAGAGGACCGGAGUGGACGCAUCACUGGUGUUCGGGUUGUCAUGCCAAUGGCACUGCCCGGUAGCUAAAUGCGGAAGAGAUAAGUGCUGAAAGCAUCUAAGCACGAAACUUGCCCCGAGAUGAGUUCUCCCUGAGACUUAGAGUCUCCUGAAGGAACGUUGAAGACGACGACGUUGAUAGGCCGGGUGUGUAAGCGCAGCGAUGCGUUGAGCUAACCGGUACUAAUGAACCGUGAGGCUUAACCUUACAACGCCGAAGCUGUU